rnacentral:lncRNA from 1 species
GAACAUUUAGGGUAUCUCAACAAACAGCAAAUCAAUUAUAGAACUUUUUCUGCUCUUUACUUACAGACCAUCUGGGGCUGUCAUGUAGCCUUGCCCUUUCUGUAAGAACUGUUGAGAAGGAAUUGUCGAGGUUGUCAGGAACACAUGCUUUACACCACUUGCACAACAUCUGUAUGAGGAAUGAAGCUUACACAAGUCUGGGUAAAGUUACGCAGUGUGCAGGAAGUCCCUUUGACUGUGUGUGUGGAGAGCUGCAUCUGAAAUCACCCCGCUGUACACCAUUCAGACAUCACGUUUUUAAAACAGAGCUUCAUGAAGCUCAAGUUGCUCCUGAAUUUCUCCUGUGGCCCAUUAUGACCUUGAUCUUUCUGCCUUCAUAUUGCAAAUGCUGGGCUCAUAGGUAUACACUGCUGUAUCCAGUUGUGUCUAUUUCUGGGGAUGGAUCUCAGGACUUCAUGUAUGCCAGGCAGGAGGAACUCUACCAACUCUACAUCCCCAGCUCUGGAAAUAAUUUCUCUAAAAUCUCCCCUAACAAACUAUACAAAAAUGUGAAGGUAAGGACAGUAUGUUGCCUAUCAGUCUCUUUCUCAUACUUUAUCUUGGUGUCUAGAGAAUCCCCAAGACACACUAUUUCUUUCCUAACUGAAUGAGUGAGUGAAACUGGGCGUCUGAGUCUUUUUAUGCCAAUAUGCCUGCAAAUUUGCACAUUUUUUUUUCUGUUUUUGUGUUUCCCAAGACUAAAUAAUCCGUAAUGACAAACUUUUAGUUUGGCAACACUCCUGUUCUCAAUCACUUCCUCUCAUAUACGGUAAAGAGAAAUUAAGGUAAUUAUCUAACAACUACUGUAAGAAUAGCUGCUUCUGAUGCCAUGCACUUCUUUUAUUCACUCAAGUUACACAAAAUAAUGUUUGUAGCUUCUCUUUAAAGUAUAGGUUAAGAUACUUGCCUUGUGGUCAUUAGGCGUUUUAUUCACACCAAUGGUCUGUGGAGUACAAGUGUGUGUGUGUGUGUGUGUGUGUGUGUGUGUGUGUGUGUGUGUGUAUCAGAAUGAUGACUCUCAAAGGUAAGUACUCUCUAAUUGCAGGAAUUAUGAAUAUGUUUCAUUACAUGGCUAAAGAGACUUUGCCAAUGUGAUUGUGAGUUUGGGGUUUGAGAUGGAGAGAUUUCUUUUCAUUACCUAAUGGCCAAAGCUGAUCAUGUGGUCCUCAAAAGUGGAUAGCCUGUCCUAGCACUGGUUAGAGGAAGAUGUGAUAAUGGAAGGUGUGUUGGAACCCUGGGACAUUACUAACUUGAGCAGAUAGAACAGAGGACAUGAGCUGUGAGCUAGGAGGAUCAAGAAGAAAGAUCUCUCCUGCAGCCUUCUUAAAGUAGCGUGGCCCUACUAUACUUUAAUUUAUCAUGAUGUCAUCCAUGCUGCAUGUCUGAGUCACCCAUUUGAAAGAUAAUAAGUUGUGUUUUCCUUAAGUAGUUAAGUAUGCCCCUUUUGCAGAAAACAAAUAGAUUGAUGCUGUUAGUAAAUUUGUGUUAUCUAAAUGCUAGUUAUAGGAAGUUAUUUUAAUAAAAAUAUUAUUCAAAAGUAACA